rnacentral:tRNA from 1 species
GGGAAGGUGGCUCAGUGGUAGAGCGCUUGCCUUGUAUGCAUGAGGCCCUGAGUUCGAUUCCUCAGGACCCCA